GCCCUCGUAGAUUGUGGCGAUCCCUCCUGCUAUAUAUAUGGUUGUAAAGUAAAUGCAAGGAGAGAUGGAGGUUCGAAUCCUCCCCAGGGCA